rnacentral:tRNA from 1 species
GGGUACUUAGUUCAGUCUGGAAGAACAGCUGAAUUGCACUCAGCAGGCCCGAGGUUCGAAUCCUCGCGUACCCA